UAAGCCUGCGAAGGUGGCCUGUGAGGGUUGCUGGAGGUAUCAGAAGUGCGAAUGCUGACAUAAGUAACGAUAAAGCGGGUGAAAAGCCCGCUCGCCGGAAGACCAAGGGUUCCUGUCCAACGUUAAUCGGGGCAGGGUGAGUCGACCCCUAAGGCGAGGCCGAAAGGCGUAGUCGAUGGGAAACGGGUUAAUAUUCCCGUACUUGGUGUUACUGCGAAGGGGGGACGGAGAAGGCUAUGUUGGCCGGGCGACGGUUGUCCCGGUUUAAGCGUGUAGGUGUGUGUUCCAGGUAAAUCCGGUUCACUUUAACACUGAGGCGUGACGACGAGGCACUACGGUGCUGAAGCAACAAAUGCCCUGCUUCCAGGAAAAGCCUCUAAGCAUCAGGUAACAUCAAAUCGUACCCCAAACCGACACAGGUGGUCAGGUAGAGAAUACCAAGGCGCUUGAGAGAACUCGGGUGAAGGAACUAGGCAAAAUGGUGCCGUAACUUCGGGAGAAGGCACGCUGACACGUAGGUGAAGUGAUUUACUCACGGA
rnacentral:rRNA from 1 species